rnacentral:rRNA from 1 species
CGAACGUGGGGAACCGUGCCCCACUAGUCUGGGAUACCACUUGGAAACAGGUGCUAAUACCGGAUAAGAAAGCGGAUCGCAUGAUCAGCUUUUAAAAGGCGGCGUAAGCUGUCGCUAUGGGAUGGCCCCGCGGUGCAUUAGCUAGUUGGUAAGGUAAAGGCUUACCAAGGCGAUGAUGCAUAGCCGAGUUGAGAGACUGAUCGGCCACAUUGGGACUGAGACACGGCCCAAACUCCUACGGGAGGCAGCAGCU